rnacentral:rRNA from 1 species
AGCAGCCGCGGUAAUUCCAGCUCCAAUAGCGUAUAUUAAAGUUGUUGCAGUUAAAAAGCUCGUAGUUGAAUUUCGGGAUCAAUUUAUUGGUCGUGCUAUUGUACGUACUGGUAUUAUUGAUUUCUACCUUCUGACGAACCAUGAUGUCAUUAAUUUGGUGUCUUGGGGAAUCAGGACUGUUACUUUGAAAAAAUUAGAGUGUUUAAAGCAGGCUCACGCUUGAAUACAUUAGCAUGGAAUAACGAAAUAGGACGUUUGAUUCUAUUUUGUGGUUUCUAGGAUCGACGUAAUGAUUAAUAGGGAUAGUUGGGGGCAUUAGUAUUCAAUUGUCAGAGGUGAAAUUCUUGGAUUUAUUGAAGACUAACUACUGCGAAAGCAUUUGCCAAGGAUGUUUUCAUUAAUCAAGAACGAAAGUUAGGGGAUCGAAGACGAUCAGAUACCGUCGUAGUCUUAACCAUAAACUAUGCCGACUAGGGAUCGGAUGAUGUUAAUUUUUAAUGUACUCAUUCG